rnacentral:misc_RNA from 1 species
UUCCCUAUACAGCUCUCAAUCUUAAGCCAUAAAGGUCCAUUGUGGAGCAUUUUGGGUGACGAAAUCUGGAUGGGUGAGAUAGUCCGAAAUCACAAAUACUACCCGUAACCGCAAGCCCAUGGAUAGCUCCACAUACGUAUUGGGCAUUUUGGCCUAGCAGCAGGCAGCUACCAACGUGUAUUUUGACCUCAGGAGGCCUCCAGCCAACAAAACUAAACCACACGCAUCGGAAUUGUUGGCGAAGUUUGACAGCGAGAAAUGGCUUCAGGUUGGGGGAUCACCGGAAACAAGGGCAGAUGCUACGAUUUCUGGGUUGACUUCAGUGAAUGCAUGUCUCGUUGCAGAGAGCCCAAGGACUGCGCUCUCCUGCGCGAGGACUACCUUGAGUGCCUCCACCACUCUAAAGAGUUUCAAAGAAGAAACCGUAUUUACAAGGAGGAGCAGCGUAAAAUACGAGCAGCUGCUCAGACGACCAAGGACGGUGGAGAUGGCAUUGAUAGCCAUCAUGCAUGACCAAUAAUUGAUCAUCUUUUGAAAUUCUAGUACUAAAGAACAUGUCAAGAUGUAUUUUUCAUUCAUCUGAUGCUGAUAUUCAGACUGUGUUCAAGUGAUUCUGCUUUUGUUUAUUUGAGAAUCGAAAUGCAAAUGUGGGUCUUUUUGAUUUGUGCAAUAACAUGAAGUUAUGUGUUUCAUAAAAUUGAUUUGCCAGGUAAAUGCAUCUGUUAUGUCAAUUGUCAAGUAAAUGGGGUUUCACAACGCACACAGACAUACAUAAAAACUGCAAUUUUCUUUUAUGGAAUUCUAGAUAUCCUUAUUUCAUUUUUUCCUUCUUAGCCUGGAUAAGUGAACCCUAUAUUACUUGUAUAUAGCUCCUCGGAGAUUGAACAAUGUUUUAUUUUCAUGAAAAAAAGCAGCAAGAUUGGAUGAUUAAGGUUGCUGACUGAUAAUUCCUAGCCCAGUGACCCACAAUUUGGAAGUUCUCAUAAUUUUGUUAUUAGUAAAUGUUAGUAGUUUUGCAUCAUUAGUUCUUGUCCUCAAGGCUUCUGUUUUCAAGUGCAAAGCAAAUGCAUGUUGUCAUAUUAUGAUGCUUGGAAAAUCUAGGUUUUGGUAUAGAGAUUCUGACUUGUGUUUAUGCUCAUAUUUUUUUACAGAAAGCUUCUGUUUUUGUGUGAAUUAAUUUCCAUUCCAAGCAGUUGUGCUUGCAUGAAAGAGCUCUAAAUGCUGCUCGAUUAACCAAUUCCUAGCGGUACCAUGUCCAUCUGAAGCACUUUCAAAUGCAAUGAAAAUGCAUGUGGAUCCAAAAAAAAUAGUUGAAGUUUCUCUAUUGUUGCUAAAACUUGAUUCCCUGUCAAAUUCUAAUUGUGGAUUCUCUGCUAAUCUGUAAGAAACUGGUUUCCUAGUUUGAAACAUUAGACAAAUGCGUCAUCUACAUACUACUUACUACAGGUUGGUAUAUCACCGAUUUGAGAAUACGGAUCCUGGGAAUGAAUGGGUGAGGAUAUGAUUAGACGUGAAGCUGGUUUGGCUUGUAAGUGUAUAAAUCUCAUCCGAUUCCUUAUAAGAUUUCAUGAAAAUUCAAGAACAAAAGAAGCAUAACCUUCAUAUGUCAAAUGAAAAUAUUGGAAAUUACUGACUUUUUUGUUAAAAUAAUACGGAUUUAAUUCAAAAUUACCAUAUAUGUAUAUAAAUGUUGUAUUGUAUCAUAUUAGAAUUACCAUUUGUCUUUUAAAUAUUACUCUGUUACGGAAUCAUAUAUUCAUAAAAAGAAAGCGAAAAU